CAAGAAGAAGAGAUCUCUAACAUGAAGAUAAGAGUCUUGUUUGAUAGCCAAGGAUGACUUGCCUGAUUUCCUAGCAUUUUGGGUUGUGGCUUGCAACAAUGUUUAUACAAAUUUAACCCUUGAUGCAGGUUCUCAGGCAGUCUCCUUGGCUAAUUUGACAAGCUCUUGUUUGUCAUGCUAGACUUUCUCUUCUAUAUAUAUCUUUCCAAACAAGCCCUUCAUUGAUUCUAUGAUCUUGGUAGAUGUGAAUGUUUUUUAUUCUUGUUGGAGAUUGAUGGUGUGCAUAGUGGGAAGAGAAGCCUUACAUGAAGAUGCUGAUGGUGAUGUUGGCGAAGAAUGUAUUAUUUCAGCAUGCUGAUUUGAAUAAUUUUCUACCGGAUUAUAUACUGUCUGGAGAACUGAAGAACUAUAAUCUACUUUUUUCAUUUUAAGGUGUCUAUCUGGAAUAUCUGAUGUAGAAAUUAUGGGUUUUACUAUAGUUUGGAUUACAGAUUUAGGUUCAUUUCCUUUAUAUGUAGCAUAUAUUACUGAAGGUAGAUUUGAGAUUAUAUCUUCUGUUACUACUGAAGAUGAUGACCCUGUAUUUCUACUGCUUAUGCUUCUAUUGAACUUUAACGAUAUUUUACCAUCUUCAAA